AUACUUACCUGGUGCUGGGCUUGCGGUGAUCAUUAAGGCCGCAGCCCCGUGCGGAGACCUUCCACCAUUACACUGCGGUUGGUUGAAGCGCGCCACAUCCCCAAAUCGGGGUUGGUGGAGCAUAUAAUUUUUGGUAGUGGGGCUCAGCGUUCGCGCCAGCCCUGC